rnacentral:lncRNA from 1 species
AAAUGCCUUGACUUCAAUUUCUUCUUUUUAUUUCUUUAGGUACGGCAAUUGUAAUAAGGAAAAGGAUGAACACUCCUUCUUCCUCCCUUAUUUUAUUCAUCUUUUUCCUUUUUAAUUCCUUUCUUUUAUUUAUUCUAAUUUACUUACCAAUAUUAAAUAAUAAACAACAUAAACUUGGAGGAAUGGAACCAUGCUUGGCCGGCCACUUAUCAUGAAUUGGGCACUUUGACAUGCAAACCCA